ensembl:lncRNA
ACUUCUUUACUUGCUUUAAGGGCUGGGCGAUAGCAUAUGGCCUAAAAAAAAAAAUCCCCGAUUUUUUCAGAAAAAAAAUCUGAUUUAUGAUUUAAAUCGAUUUUAAAAUCAAUAUUCAAAUGACAAAGAAAUUUUUCAAAACAAGUUUUAAUAUAUUUCUUUAUCAUUCAUUUACCAAUCAAAUUUAUAACUGAGACAGGGGGCGCGCUCUAUGGCGGCAAAGCAGUAAGACGUGUUUGGCAGAGCUCCUGGCAUGCCUACCUAAUGUAGUGUUUUUUCUUAAAGUAUUAUUUCAAAACUCGACGCCAGAAGUUUUAGUAUUGGACCCUCUUGUUAAGUCGACUCUAAAAAAUACGAAAAUGGUGACAAAUCUCAGAAAAUACAAGUACACGGGACCUGCGGGCGAUAGGCCGAACGCCUCCUCGGACCGGAAUGUUUCUAAGGCCAUGAGUGAAUCGGCUCCACCCUCACCAAAUCCCAGCGAAAUGGAUACGUCUGGUUUGAAGUCUGAGAUACUUCUCGCACUGAAGUCUGAUAUUUCAGCGGUGAUUAAAUCAGAACUGAAGGAUGCCCUUGCAGAAGACUUUGACUUUCUUAAGAGUGAAUUACGAGCGGUGAAAUCUGAAAUAAUAAACAGCACCGCGGCGCUUCGCUCGGAGUUAGACCAAGUCAAAGCGAGUGUCAACGAUAUAGAGGGCGGUUUAUCUAAUUGGUCGGAUGAGGUUGUCGCCCUACAGAGUACAGUGGGUAAGUUGAAAUCGGAACUAAAGGAACUAAAGGUGAAAUGUGAGGACAUGGAAGGCCGGAUGAGGAGGUGCAACGUGCGGAUUCUCGGUGUUCCCGAGACACCGGAUUCCAGCUCAUCCAUAGCAGUCGCCAAGAUGCUAACUGAGGUGCUACAGCUUGAGAAAGAGCCACUGAUUGAUCGCUCACAUCGUACACCAGGACAAAAGAAACCGGCCGGUAAACCAAGAGUUGUUGCUAAGUUACACUAUUAUCAAGACUGUGCGGAGAUUCUGCGCCGUGCACGCACUCGUGGCCCACUUCGUUUCAAUGACGCGCAUAUCACAAUUCUUCCUGACUACACUGCAAGCGUGGCCAAAGCCCGGGCAGCGUUCACAGACGUGAAGAGGCUUCUUCGAAACCGACAGGGUGUUCGCUACGGAUUACUUUUUCCGGCACAACUUCGUAUCACCCACGGAGAAGAAGACAAAGAAUUUGCUGAUCCAAACAAGGCCAUGGCUUAU